rnacentral:rRNA from 1 species
GACGAACGCUGGCGGCGUGCUUAACACAUGCAAGUCGAACGGAAAGGCCCCCACCUUGGUGGGGGUGCUCGAGUGGCGAACGGGUGAGUAACACGUGGGUGAUCUGCCCUGUACUUCGGGAUAAGCUUGGGAAACUGGGUCUAAUACCGGAUAGGACCAUGGUUUAGUGUCUCAUGGUGGAAAAAUUAUUGUUUUGGUGCAGGAUGAGCUCGCGGCCUAUCAGCUUGUUGGUGGGGUAAUGGCCUACCAAGGCGUCGACGGGUAGCCGGCCUGAGAGGGUGGACGGCCACAUUGGGAGUGAGAUACGGCCCAGACUCCGACGGGAGGCAGCAGUGGGGAAUAUUGAACAAUGGGCGCAAGCCUGAUGCAGCGACGCCGCGUGGAGGAUGACGGCCGUCGGGUAGGAAACUCCUUUCGUUAGGGACGAAGCCACACCUUUUUUGGGUGUGGUGACGGUACCUUUGUAAAGAAGCACCGGCUAACUACGUG